rnacentral:rRNA from 1 species
CCUACGGGAGGCAGCAGUGAGGAAUAUUGGUCAAUGGCCGGAAGGCUGAACCAGCCAAGCCGCGUGAAGGACGAAGGUGCCAAGCAUUGUAAACUUCUUUUGUCAAGGGACAAAAUCAGGCUCGAGAGCCUGACCGAGGGUACUUGAAGAAAAAGCAUCGGCUAACUCCGUGCCAGCAGCCGCGGUAAUACGGAGGAUGCGAGCGUUAUCCGGAUUUAUUGGGUUUAAAGGGUGCGUAGGCGGGCAGUUAAGUCAGCGGUAAAAGGCCGGGGCUCAACCCCGGCCUGCCGUUGAAACUGGGUGCCUUGAGAGGGCGAGAGGUAUGCGGAAUGCGUAGUGUAGCGGUGAAAUGCAUAGAUAUUGCGCAGAACCCCGAUUGCGAAGGCAGCAUACCGGCGGCGAUCUGACGCUGAGGCACGAAAGUGCGGGUAUCGAACAGGAUUAGAUACCCGGGUAGUC